rnacentral:rRNA from 1 species
CUUUAUUGGAGAGUUUGAUCCUGGCUCAGGAUGAACGCUGGCGGCGUGCCUAAUACAUGCAAGUCGAGCGAAUGGAUUAAGAGCUUGCUCUUAUGAAGUUAGCGGCGGACGGGUGAGUAACACGUGGGUAACCUGCCCAUAAGACUGGGAUAACUCCGGGAAACCGGGGCUAAUACCGGAUAACAUUUUGAACCGCAUGGUUCGAAAUUGAAAGGCGGCUUCGGCUGUCACUUAUGGAUGGACCCGCGUCGCAUUAGCUAGUUGGUGAGGUAACGGCU